CCUACGGGAGGCAGCAGUGGGGAAUAUUUGGCAAUGGGCGCAAGCCUGACCCAGCAAUGCCGCGUGAAGGAAGAAGGCUUUCGGGUUGUAAACUUCUUUGACAGGGGAAGAGCCGAAGACGGUACCCUGAAAACAAGACACGGCUAACUACGUGCCAGCAGCAGCGGUAAUACGUAGGUGGCAAGCGUUGGACGGAUUUACUGGGUGUAAAGGGCGUGUAGCCGGGACGGCAAGUCAGAUGUGAAAUCUGGAGGCUCAACCUCCAAAUUGCAUUUGAAACUGUUUUUCUUGAGUACUGGAGAGGCAGACGGAAUGCCUUGUGUAGCGGUGAAAUGCGUAGAUAUAAGGAGGAACACCAGUGGCGAAGGCGGUCUGCUGGACAGCAACUGACGGUGAGGCGCGAAAGCGUGGGGAGCAAACAGGAUUAGAUACCCUUGUAGUC
rnacentral:rRNA from 1 species